rnacentral:lncRNA from 1 species
CUCCACCAUCAUCACCCCCUCUAACUGUCACUGUCCCCCAUCGCUCCACCAUCAUCACCCCCUCUAACUGUCACUGUCCCCCAUCGCUCCAUCAUCAUCACCCCCUCUAACUGUCACUCAAAAUGAGCCACUGAUGCUUUUAUAUUACGGAGCAGUUUUGCUGAAAUCCUCUUUAGAAAAUGUUUUUUUUUAGUCCAGAACUAGACUUAAUCUGUGUCUAGGAAACCGGCCCAAUGGGUUUUAAUAGCUGGACAUGCAGCUGUGUCUUUACCCAGGAGAAUCCCUUUCAGCUAUGCAUAAUUGACGAGUGUUCCUGUUCAGAUCCAGUUUUGCUGUUAAGUGAAGUGGCUUGAAUUAAUUUCUGCUCUCAACCUAAUUGAAUUGCAGUACCCAGCCCCCUGUAGAGCGGCAUUUCAUUUGGAAAAACAGAAAUAUGAUGCAAAGUGGGAUUGUACGUUUUUUAAUUAUUUGGGGACAGCGCUAGCGAGCUCUAGCCUUGUUGAUAUGCUAUGUUGAGAGCUCUGGGUAAGGUAUCUGUGUACAAGACAUAAAGCAAAAUGUGCAGUAUUUACCAGAAAGCAAUAAAGGAAGAAAAUUGUGUGUUUUUUGUUUCAUUAAUCAGGAGUGAUAUGUGUGUGGGUCAUUCUUGAGAUGUGGUCGCAUUUGGACAUGGCAUUUUGGAAAAUAAUUACUUAAUGUUUCUAGAUUGAAUUUAAUUUAAAUGUAUUUGGGUACAUCUUCCCAUUCUUAAUCAAAUAAUGUGGCAGCUUAAUGACGUUAAAUAUUUGUUACCAUUAUGAUAACAUGCCAGCAGUAGGAAUAGCAACACAAAGGGCGGUAACUUGAGGAUUUUACAAGAUGGGGCCACAGAUGUUCAUUAACCCUUUUUAAAAUAAUUUACUAAAGUGAUAUAAUUAAUCAUUUUGCUCACAAUUUCCCUUAAUUUACAUUGAGUAAUACCAAUAACACUUUUUAUUCAGACACACCAAAUUAAUAAUGGAAUCCUCAAAUGUAUCAUUUUUGCAGAUUAGAGGGUGUGUGUGUUCCCCUAAGACAAUUAUGAGACAGUUCGCCAUCACUGGGAAACUCCUUGCACUUCAAUCAAUGUACUAGAACAAAUGUCUAGAAUUGCUCUACAAGUUCUCCCUCUUCCUUCCCCUAUUUCUACACUCCUCUCAUAGACUUGUUCCCAUUGUGUUGUCUGACCCCUCUCCUUCCCGCGCACACAUCUCCCCUUUUUCCUCCCCUCCCCCACUACUUCCCCUCUCCCUGGGGUUGAGGAAGAAAGAUCUCUUUCUCCACCAAGAAAACAAAGGAGAUCAAUGGUUUUAUGUGUGUGUGCACACACGUGUAAAGUAACAGGAGACAGCACAAAAUAGUUAAAACACACUGUCCCAUGGCUGAGCUUGAUUGUAAUGGGUUGAAUGAUUGUGAGCUAGUAUGUCCAUCUAUUGGUCGUUACACCAGGAAAGGGCUUCCUGGGGUGAAAAAGACGUUUUAAGAUUCAAGUUGGCACGGGGUGCAUCUCGAUAGUCUAAAGUAGCCUCCUCUGCUUGUUUCCCUCCAUCUGGACUGUUCAGCAAAUUGACCAAAGCAAUAUGGAAGAUGCCUUCCAGGACUUUGGUUUCACCUGACAAGUUCUUUCACAUCAGUUCACAUGACGGGAAGAAAAUUGUGGCCAUUCAAUCUAUUUUGUCUUGCGUAUAACAUGUAUUUUUGUGAUGGUGCAGCUAUGAUGUCCAUAUACAAAUUUGUCCUUGUGGACCGUAACAUCUAUCUUGUCUUCCCAUAUCAUUUAAAUGGGUAGUUUACCCAGAAACCACAUUUGCCCACUUUUCCUAUUCUUGUAGAUACUAUACUUUAGAUAUGCUGAUAUCUUGAAUUACUUCCUGAAGACCACGAUUACUCUUCAAAAAAACAUAAUCAUUGGUCAGGAUAGUUGAGCUUGGCUUCUCUUCCAGGCCUUCAAUUCUCACAAGUGUUAUUCUUUCUUCAAACGCGCCUCACUUGGAAGCUAGGGAACGACGUUGCCAGUGCCACAAAGCAUCUUCCCAGUGAGCACAGGAUGUUAAAAAGAGUGGGCCGAGAGGACGGGGAGAGUAGAGAGAGUGAGCGGGAGGGAAAGACGGUAGACAUGCAUGCUGCUUGCCAGAGCUGUCACAACACAGUGAAUGUAUCCCUCGCCUUCUAGGAAGUUCCAACCACUGUAGACAGUGGUGAAAAUUGUAAUCCACAGACAUAUGUUUAAAUAACAUGAAUCACAAACCAAGCGGUUAUGAACAAGAAUAUCAAAUGGUCCAACCUUUGUACAUAAUUG